UUUGCGUGAGUAUGUGGAUGU
rnacentral:miRNA from 1 species